rnacentral:rRNA from 1 species
GGCGGACGGGUGAGUAAUGCCUAGGAAAUUGCCCUGAUGUGGGGGAUAACCAUUGGAAACGAUGGCUAAUACCGCAUAAUGCCUUCGGGCCAAAGAGGGGGACCUUCGGGCCUCUCGCGUCAGGAUAUGCCUAGGUGGGAUUAGCUAGUUGGUGAGGUAAGGGCUCACCAAGGCGACGAUCCCUAGCUGGUCUGAGAGGAUGAUCAGCCACACUGGAACUGAGACACGGUCCAGACUCCUACGGGAGGCAGCAGUGGGGAAUAUUGCACAAUGGGCGCAAGCCUGAUGCAGCCAUGCCGCGUGUGUGAAGAAGGCCUUCGGGUUGUAAAGCACUUUCAGUCGUGAGGAAGGUGGUGUAGUUAAUAGCUGUAUUAUUUGACGUUAGCGACAGAAGAAGCACCGGCUAACUCCGUGCCAGCAGCCGCGGUAAUACGGAGGGUGCGAGCGUUAAUCGGAAUUACUGGGCGUAAAGCGCAUGCAGGUGGUUUGUUAAGUCAGAU